GACGAACCGUGCGAACGUUGUUCGGAAUCACUGGGCUUAAAGGGCGCGUAGGCGGGCAUCAUAGUCAGGGGUGAAAUCCUCCAGCUCAACUGGAGAAGUGCCUCUGAUACUGGGUGCCUCGAAGGCAGGAGAGGGUAGUGGAAUUCCCGGUGUAGUGGUGAAAUGCGUAGAUAUCGGGAGGAACACCAGUGGCGAAGGCGACUACCUGGCCUGUUCUUGACGCUGAGGCGGCGAAAAGCUAGGGGAGCAAACGGG
rnacentral:rRNA from 1 species